GCUAUAGCUCAGCAGGAUAGAGCGACCGCCUCCUAAGCGGUAGGCCGGAGGUUCGAAUCCUCUUAGC
rnacentral:tRNA from 1 species